AGAGUUUGAUCCUGGCUCAGAAUGAACGCUGGCGGCGUGCCUAAUACAUGCAAGUUGUGCGAGAAAGUGGGAGCAAUCCCGCGAGUACAGCGGCGCACGGGUGAGUAACACGUAAGCAACCUUCCUUCAAGUUCGGAAUAACCCUGCCAACGCGGGGCUAAUACCGGAUGUGGUCCCGAGACCGCAUGGUUUUGGGAUUAAAGCUGACCUCUACACAUAAGUUUGCGCUUGAAGAUGGACUUGCGCACCAUUAGCUAGUUGGCAGGGUAACGGCCUACCAAGGCUUUGAUGGUUAGCCGACCUGAGAGGGUGAUCGGCCACAUUGGGACUGAGAUACGGCCCAGACUCCUACGGGAGGCAGCAGUAGGGAAUUUUGCGCAAUGGACGAAAGUCUGACGCAGCGACGCCGCGUGAGGGAUGAAGGUCUUCGGAUUGUAAACCUCUGUUGAGUGGGAAGAAAGUGUUUGCAGCUAAUAUCUGCAGACUUUGACGGUACCACUCGAGGAAGCCCCGGCUAACUACGUGCCAGCAGCCGCGGUAAUACGUAGGGGGCAAGCGUUGUUCGGAAUUACUGGGCGUAAAGGGAGUGUAGGCGGGAAGGUAAGUUAGAAGUUAAAUAUUCAGGCUUAACUUGAAAUCUGCUUUUAAUACUGCCUUUCUUGAGUAUGGGAGAGGGUGAUGGAAUUCCAGGUGUAGCGGUGGAAUGCGUAGAUAUCUGGAAGAACACCAGCUGCGAAGGCGGUCACCUGGCCCAAUACUGACGCUGAGGCUCGAAAGCUAGGGGAGCAAACAGGAUUAGAUACCCUGGUAGUCCUAGCCUUAAACGAUGGAUACUAGACGCUGGAGAAGUCAAUCUCUUCAGUGUCGUAGCUAACGCGAUAAGUAUCCCGCCUGGGGAGUACGCUCGCAAGGGUGAAACUCAAAGGAAUUGACGGGGGCCCGCACAAGCGGUGGAGCAUGUGCUUCAAUUCGAUGACAACGCGAAGAACCUUACCUGGGUUUGACAUGGGAGUGAAAGUCGCCAGAGAUGGUGGCCCUUCCGCAAGGAACACUCCACACAGGUGCUGCAUGGUUGUCGUCAGCUCGUGUCGUGAGAUGUUGGGUUGAGUCCCGCAACGAGCGCAACCCUCGCUCUUAGUUGCCAUCAGGUAAAGCUGGGAACUCUAAGGGGACCGCCUGUAAUAAACAGGAGGAAGGUGGGGAUGACGUCAAAUCAUCAUGGCCCUUACAUCCAGGGCAAGACACGUGCUACAAUGGCCGGUACAAUGGGCAGCGAACUCGCGAGGGUAAGCUAAUCCCACAAAACUGGUCUCAGUUCAGAUUGGAGUCUGCAACUCGACUCCAUGAAGCUGGAAUCGCUAGUAAUCGCGGAUCAGCAUGCCGCGGUGAAUACGUUCCCGGGCCUUGUACACACCGCCCGUCAAGCCAUGAAAGACGGGAGUACCCGAUGUCGCCACUCUAACCCGCAAGGGGAGAGUGCGCCUAAGGUAAGACCGUUGAUUGGGGCUAAGUCGAAACAAGGUA
rnacentral:rRNA from 1 species